rnacentral:rRNA from 1 species
GGCCAGACUCCUACGGGAGGCAGCAGUGGGGAAUAUUGCACAAUGGGGGGAACCCUGAUGCAGCGACGCCGCGUGGGUGAAGGAGCACCUCGGUGCGUAAAGCCCUAUCGGCAGGGAAGAAACAGACGGUACCUGACUAAGAAGCCCCGGCUAACUACGUGCCAGCAGCCGUGGUAAUACGUAGGGGGCAAGCGUUAUCCGGAUUUACUGGGUGUAAAGGGGGCGCAGACGGCGAUGCAAGCCAGGAGUGAAAGCCCGGGGCCCAACCCCGGGACUGCUCUUGGAACUGCGUGGCUGGAGUGCAGGAGGGGCAGGCGGAAUUCCUGGUGUAGCGGUGAAAUGCGUAGAUAUCAGGAGGAACACCGGUGGCGAAGGCGGCCUGCUGGACUGCAACUGACGUUGAGGCCCGAAAGCGUGGGGAGCAAACAGGAUUAGAUACCCUUGUAAU